rnacentral:rRNA from 1 species
CCUANGGGGGGCAGCAGUGGGGAAUUUUGCGCAAUGGGCGAAAGCCUGACGCAGCAACGCCGCGUGAGUGAUGAAGGCUUUCGGGUCGUAAAGCUCUGUCGAUGGGAAAGAAGUGUAUUGUGGCUAAUAUCCACGAUACUUGACGGUACCCAUAAAGGAAGCACCGGCUAACUCCGUGCCAGCAGCCGCGGUAAUACGGGGGGUGCAAGCGUUGUUCGGAAUUAUUGGGCGUAAAGAGCGUGUAGGCGGUUUGUUAAGUCUGUUGUGAAAGCCCUGGGCUCAACCCAGGAAGUGCACUGGAUACUGGCAGACUUGAAUACGGGAGAGGGCAGUGGAAUUCCUAGUGUAGGAGUGAAAUCCGUAGAUAUUAGGAGGAACACCGGUGGCGAAGGCGGCUACCUGGACCGAUAUUGACGCUGAGACGCGAAAGCGUGGGUAGCAAACAGGAUUAGAUACCCGGNUANUC